GACGAACCGUGCAAACGUUAUUCGGAAUCACUGGGCAUAAAGGGCGCGUAGGCGGCUUUCUAAGUCAGGGUGAAAUCCUGGAGCUCAACUCCAGAACUGCCUUUGAUACUGAAGAUCUUGAGUUCGGGAGAGGUGAGUGGAACUGCGAGUGUAGAGGUGAAAUUCGUAGAUAUUCGCAAGAACACCAGUGGCGAAGGCGGCUCACUGGCCCGGUACUGACGCUGAGGUGCGAAAGCGUGGGGAG
rnacentral:rRNA from 1 species